AAGAAAGUCGUAGAGGCUACGGGGUUGGCUUGAAACCAAUUUUUGGGGGUUCGAUUCCUUCCUUUCUUG
rnacentral:tRNA from 2 species